AGAGUUUGAUCCUGGCUCAGAUUGAACGCUGGCGGCAGGCCUAACACAUGCAAGUCGAGCGGUAGCACAGAAGAGCUUGCUCUUUGGGUGACGAGCGGCGGACGGGUGAGUAAUGUCUGGGAAACUGCCUGAUGGAGGGGGAUAACUACUGGAAACGGUAGCUAAUACCGCAUAACCUCGCAAGAGCAAAGAGGGGGACCUUCGGGCCUCUCGCCAUCAGAUGUGCCCAGAUGGGAUUAGCUAGUAGGUGAGGUAAUGGCUCACCUAGGCGACGAUCCCUAGCUGGUCUGAGAGGAUGACCAGCCACACUGGAACUGAGACACGGUCCAGACUCCUACGGGAGGCAGCAGUGGGGAAUAUUGCACAAUGGGCGCAAGCCUGAUGCAGCCAUGCCGCGUGUGUGAAGAAGGCCUUCGGGUUGUAAAGCACUUUCAGCGGGGAGGAAGGCGGUAAGGUUAAUAACCUUAUCGAUUGACGUUACCCGCAGAAGAAGCACCGGCUAACUCCGUGCCAGCAGCCGCGGUAAUACGGAGGGUGCAAGCGUUAAUCGGAAUGACUGGGCGUAAAGCGCACGCAGGCGGUCUGUUAAGUUGGAUGUGAAAUCCCCGGGCUUAACCUGGGAACUGCAUUCAAAACUGACAGGCUAGAGUCUUGUAGAGGGGGGUAGAAUUCCAGGUGUAGCGGUGAAAUGCGUAGAGAUCUGGAGGAAUACCGGUGGCGAAGGCGGCCCCCUGGACAAAGACUGACGCUCAGGUGCGAAAGCGUGGGGAGCAAACAGGAUUAGAUACCCUGGUAGUCCACGCUGUAAACGAUGUCGAUUUGGAGGUUGUGCCCUUGAGGCGUGGCUUCCGGAGCUAACGCGUUAAAUCGACCGCCUGGGGAGUACGGCCGCAAGGUUAAAACUCAAAUGAAUUGACGGGGGCCCGCACAAGCGGUGGAGCAUGUGGUUUAAUUCGAUGCAACGCGAAGAACCUUACCUACUCUUGACAUCCACAGAAUUUGCUAGAGAUAGCUUAGUGCCUUCGGGAACUGUGAGACAGGUGCUGCAUGGCUGUCGUCAGCUCGUGUUGUGAAAUGUUGGGUUAAGUCCCGCAACGAGCGCAACCCUUAUCCUUUGUUGCCAGCGAUUCGGUCGGGAACUCAAAGGAGACUGCCGGUGAUAAACCGGAGGAAGGUGGGGAUGACGUCAAGUCAUCAUGGCCCUUACGAGUAGGGCUACACACGUGCUACAAUGGCGUAUACAAAGAGAAGCGACCUCGCGAGAGCAAGCGGACCUCAUAAAGUACGUCGUAGUCCGGAUUGGAGUCUGCAACUCGACUCCAUGAAGUCGGAAUCGCUAGUAAUCGUAGAUCAGAAUGCUACGGUGAAUACGUUCCCGGGCCUUGUACACACCGCCCGUCACACCAUGGGAGUGGGUUGCAAAAGAAGUAGGUAGCUUAACCUUCGGGAGGGCGCUUACCACUUUGUGAUUCAUGACUGGGGUGAAGUCGUAACAAGGUAACCGUAGGGGAACCUGCGGUUGGAUCACCU
rnacentral:rRNA from 1 species